ACAACGUGGCACGGCUUGACAAGUAUUUUUUUUAACCAACAUUUUCGAGAACACAAACACGAACCCUUAAUUAUGUCAAAAUGGGAUAACUGGUAUUUGAAUUUAUUCGUAAAAAAUGAAAAACUAAUGUUGAUCUCGUCCGCGGCCGCAGCUGUCAAACUUCUCCGGUUCCUGCUGCACUUUGUCGUUGUCUGGGACCGCAUGCUGUCAAUAAGCUGUGUUAUAUUCGAAGUGUGUGCUGAGGGAGUUUGGACCUAAUGGAUUCCAGGGGUCAUCGCAGGCCGGAGGCUGGCCAUCACUCUCACAGAGUGAGAGACAGGGGGGACUACGCCAGAUCUGCCCAUCAGGACUGGGACCAAAAGUACCCACCACCUGACCCCAGAGACACGGAGAGGCAAUGGGCUCUUCAAGAUGCAAACUACAGGGCCUAUUUCAACAGCCCUGCACCAAGACUGGAGCACACACCCAGCUCCUACAACACCCCGCCUUAUGGUUACGGCUAUGACCGACCUGAGCACUCAAGGUCCCAGUCCAGGCAUGGAUAUAAUUAUCCAACUGACAGCCAGUGGGACUACAGGGAGAAUUAUAAUUACUAUGACCAUGACUAUUACAGAGGACAGCGUGGGCACCCAGAUGGUGGUCAGUGGGGUCCCCGAGACUCGUGGAGGAUGGAUCCUUAUCAGGACAGAUUGUAUGAGAAAGGACAUAGUGGGAGUUGCUACACAGAGCAGUACAGGGGUGAUAACCAGACGGACAGCUCUCAGAAUUUCCUCAGUGAAAGUGACAAUAUUUAUAGCAGAGGGAAUGGAGAGGUUUCAUCUUAUUAUCAUGGGACUCUAGCAAGCUCCAAAAAUUCAGGAAUGUCUUCCAGUAGCUUUGAGCUGAGUCAGUACAUUAAUGGAACGGAUUAUAGUGACACUCAGUCUGUUUACCCUAUUGCUGAUGCAGAGCCUGCAACAGUGGCAAUGCAUCAGAUGGCAGCCCCUUUGAAAUACAACAUCCCUCAUGCAAUUGUCAGUUUUGGGCCUGCUGGCCAACUGGUACGGGUCACUCCGGGUUUUUCCACACAGGAGAACCCUGGUCAGCUUGAGAUCCAUAGUCUGGAAGUCAUUCUUGGGGAGACACAGGAACAGGUGGAGUUGAGGAAAUUCCCUGGCCCUUUAACAAGGGAAGAUUUGCACAAAGUCGAUGCAAUUGAAUUUGCCCACCAGAGGGCAGAAGCCUGCAUGAAAGACGACAAACUGCAAGAUAGGAGCUCUGCUUUUCUCAUGUGGAAUCUACUGAUACUGCUGUGCAGACAGAAUGGACAAAUAGUUGGAUCGGAUAUCGCAGAGCUGCUGGUGCAGAACUCGCAUUCAGAUGGGACAUGGGACUCAGAUGCUCCAACGCUGAUUGACUUCAGUGAAGGCCCAAGCCCUGAAGCCGAGCCUUGCAAAGGAGAUGACCUGCUAACAGGACAUCUGAACAGCUCCAGCUCUGAGACCUCAGAACAAGCCCUGCAGAGCUACACUAAACUGCUCCUGGCUGGAAGGAAGAAGGAGGCCUUAGAGUCAGCCAUGAGCAGUGACCUGUGGGGUCAUGCACUUUUCCUGGCCAGCAAAAUGGACAACAGGUCAUAUACCACCGUGUUGAACAGAUUUACAGGCCAGCUAACAGCCAAUGAUCCCCUCCAGACUUUCUUUCAGCUGCUAUCUGGGAAAGUUCCUGCCGUAGCCACGUGCUGUGGAAAUGAAACCUGGGGGGACUGGAAGCCCCAUCUGGCCGUAAUGCUUUCCAAUGAGACGGGAGAUGCUGCCGCACAGCAAAAAGCUAUCAUCAGCAUGGGUGACACACUGGCCUCAAAACAUCUUAUACAUGCUGCCCAUGUCUGCUACCUAACAGCCUAUGCGCCCUUUGGGUUUUUUACACAAAAGGCAGAACGACUGGUACUUCUGGGCAGCAGCCACCGGCUUCCUUUCUUAGACUUUGCCACGGACUCUGCCAUUCAGUGUACUGAGCUGUUCGAGUACUGCCAGACACUUGGGGGCAAAUUCUUCUCAAUUCCAUCUUUUCAGGUGUAUAAGUUCCUGUAUGCUUGUCGACUGCUGGACUGCGGGCUUGUGUCUCAGGCCUUCCAUUACUGCGAGGUGAUUGGGCAGGCAUUGCUCAGACAGAAUGAGCCUUUCCCCCUGCUGACAGGAGAGGUGAUAAAGGUGGCAGAGAGACUGAGACACUCCGAGGGCCAUGUCAGUGGAGCAGCGGCUUGUGGACCUGAUCAGGAACCUGACUGGCUGCAACAGCUGCGCUUAAGGCAUCGCAACUUGCAGGAGGGUUAUGGUUUUAUUGAAACUUACAAGCCAAAUGCUGAGGGAAGGGCUUUGGACCAUGACGAUACCCAAGCGUGUUCAGAAUCAGACUUGGACAACCUAAGAGGGGAUCUCCAGACUUGCCAUAGAGGUCUUGGAAAAGAAGAAACCUCCAUACAACAGGCUGGAGAACAAAAAGAGGACCCGACAACAUUGUCAUGGCCACAGGCCAAUUCUCCCCCACCAACAGUGCCUUAUGCUCCUCGAGUGACUGGGAGCCAAGACUUCAGUUAUCAUAACACAGAUAGCACAGAAGUUAAAACUGCCCCCCUCUAUUCUCCUUUGGAUCAUUUCCCUUCAGCAGCAGAGGGGAGUGAGGCUUCUUCUGGAGUGGGCAUGAUGGGGUUGCAGGUGAAUGCUUUGGAGUUUGAUUACAGUCAAGGGGGAGAGAGACAGCAGAACAUCCCACAAAGUAUGGCUACUGAGGGCAAAGACACAGAUUCAGCCAAAAUACCCCCAAAACAGAGCACUAAGGCAGGGUGGUUCAGUGGAUGGUUCAAAUCCAACCCCAAAGAUGCACAAAUGGAGAAUUCAGAGUCUGCACAAAUUGAACUGCCACCUACAUCUGGUUUCUCUCCCCCUCCACCGCCUGCUGUGGGUUCUCCUCCUGUGUUUCCAUCCCAACACACAUCUAAGAUCAAUCCCUUUUCAAGGAAAGCAGUACUAGGCCAAUGGCACGCUCCACAUGGAUGCGGACAGUUGCAAUUUUUCUUGUUUCCUCAAUUUCUAAAGGACCAAGCUGCUUUCUCCCUUUUGUAAAAGCAGGUCAACAACUGAGAUAGUCAUCAUGUACACAUAUGUGGGCUCAGGAUCACAGACACCACUAUCACCCCACAGUGUUGGGAUAAAACUACCAUUUAAUGUGGACAUAUUCGCCCAGCUAUCCAAAUGCAUGAUUGGAGAUCAGAGAAAACACAUGCCACUUUUCAGCACCCCAAGAUCAAGCCUCCAUCCAUAUUUCUUUUUUUGGAUGCCCUUUUGAACCUCCAAGUUCUUGCGCACCAUGCAAUAUGUUGGUUACAAAAAUACACCGGGUGUACUGAUAGUGUGAAUAUGCUUUAAAGGGCUGUGUGAUAACUCAUACUGAGGAUACUAAACAGCUGAGGUGUGACUUCCAAGAGCUGACAGUGGGAAAUUAGCAUUGGAUGCAGAAGAUGUUUGGAGAUAAAGAUGUUUGUAUCAAUUUUAUUCGCCACUUAUGUAGAAAAAAAUGUGUCUGGUUCAACUGUUGGUGAUAACACCGAGGCAUGCUUUACUGUCAGAGAUUGGCUUAAUAGUGUGUCUCAAAUGUAUGCAGCUGGUAGAGUUACAGUACUCUGAUGCCCCCUCGCAAUUUAACCUAAGAAGUAAACUACCACCCACAAUGUAUGACAGAAUAUCCAUCAGCUCGCUAUAUAUUUAUAAGAAGUAAAUCCCCCAAUCCCAUCACCUUCUCCUUUUUUUUGGAAAUACAUACAUUAAACUAUAUUGCAUGGAAGUACAUUUAACUUGUCUUUUAAGCACUGCCUACCAAAGCAAAAUGCGGCCCAAAACAAAUGUAGUCGUUAAGUGUUGAAAUGAAAGCAAGUGAAUAUCAUACUACAGAGUUGACAUUAUGACAUCUAAGAUUUUCGUUUGAAUAGUUAAUAUCUUUUGCCAAACAAGGUAACACAACUAUAAUUCAGUCUUAUCGCCCACUAAUGAAAGCCCUUGCAUUUUAGUAGACUGUUUUUUUGCCCUUCUAUGAAUCCAGAACACUUUUUACUUCAAUCACACACUUGGCUGUGGUUGCAAUUUUAUAAAUAUAAGAGUAACUAAUAUACAGAGAAUGGGAAAUUUGAGUGGCAAAUGUGUAUGCACAUAUAGAUGUGCUGCAGGAUAUCAUGUAGAGAGAGGGUACAGUGAGGUAGACGGGGUUGGCAAAGACCUUCAGGCAAAUAGCCAGGACAUUUGCUUUAACCAACUCCCCAGACUUUGGCUGGAUCAAGUUCUUCUACACACCGAUGACAUGAUUAAUCAUUAAUCAGGGGAAGACCUUUAUUGACGGUACUGUUAAAAAAUAUUUGGUCACGGACCAGGCUUUACUGAGAAUGUAUUGCACAAUCAUGGAAUGAAUAUAGAUGUGCUUUCUAUUAGAGACAUUUUCACACCAGCAUUUUGAUUAAUCGACUGCCUAAGAGCACAGUGUUAAGAUGUUUUUAUAUAUAAAUGAGGUUUUUACUUGCAUGUGCUUUAUAAAUCAUGGGGUAUGUGUUGAUGCUGUUAUAAUCAACAGAUGUACAUGGAAAUAUACUACCAACCUGUGUAGAUAUAGUUUUGUUUCAAUGUUUUAUCCCGCUUAUUAACGUAUGUGCUCGGUAUUAGCAAGGUUAUACUCACACAUAAAGCACUGAUAAAAUGUGAAAUCAAAAUAAUGCGUUAAAUAAGGCUUGCUACGCAGUAGCUGACAUUCCACACUGGGCUUCUCACUUUGCGUGGAGCAAGUGACAACAUGGCAGGUGGCGUCUCCUUUUACCAUUACUCAGCUGCAGCCAGGAACACGUGGGGCAUGAUGACCAACAAGUCAGCGUACAGUGAUAUGGAGGUCAGCAGUUGCUGCCUGCCAACGUCGUGAUUCCAAAACCACAAUGUGCUUCACAACUCAGUCAGAUAAAACGCUGCACUUUGGCACCCCGAGGCUCUUGUUGAAACCUGUCCAAAAGAAUCCCCCCAUCGAGAAUUUUAGGUUGAUUUCUGUUUUGUUUCUCGUGCAAAUAUUUAUUGCUAAACCGCCAGAGAUUAAACUCACUUGCGAUGUCAAUGAAUAAUGUGUAUGGUAUGGAAAAAAAAAGAAAAGGGGUUAUGUUUCUAUUUUUUGAUUGCUAAAGGUAUUUGCUCUGCAAACAAUAUUGUUGGUGAAAGAAAGAGCAAUGGUGAUUGUAUUUUUUUGCUGUUUACGAUUGUCAUUUGAAAAAACAACUUGUUUGCAGCAACUUUUUUUUUUUACUGAAGUGCAGCUUUAUACAUAACCCGUGUUUCAUAAAAAAAUCCGAGACACAUUACAGU